rnacentral:rRNA from 1 species
UCUAGCAUGUGCGCGAGUCAUUGGGACUUUUUUUCAGGAAAGCCCAGAGGCGCAAUGAAAGUGAAGGUCGGCCUUUUCGGCUUGAUCGAGGGAGGAUGGCUCAUUGUUAUUUUUUAUAAUGACGGGCUCGCACUCCCGGGGCGUCUCGCGCUCAUUUCGAGCGGAGGCGCACCCAGAGCGUACACGCUGGGACCCGAAAGAUGGUGAACUAUGCCUGGUCAGGACGAAGUCAGGGGAAACCCUGAUGGAGGUCCGUAGCGAUUCUGACGUGCAAAUCGAUCGUCGGAACUGGGUAUAGGGGCGAAAGACUAAUCGAACCAUC